UAAAAAAUCGAAUAUUCUCAUAAUUUAGUCAAAAAAUUUAAUUAAAAACACCUCUAUUUUUAUAAAAUACAAAAAAUGCCCUUUAUAUUUUUGUCCCCCAAAACCAGAGAACUCUAACUAUCCCUAGGUUAUUCUCCUAAGUUCCCAAUUAGAUUUCUCCUCCGUCGCACUCUGCUGCCGUCUUCCAUGGCGUCGUCGUCGUCCCUCUGCGUCGCCCACAGGUGCUCUGUUCUGCUCCGCUCGUCCGCCUUGCCUCACCGCGCCUCGCGGUGCCUUGCCUCAAAUCGCCGCUCCUCAAAUCUUCCUCCUACUACACUAAGAACCGGAGAAAUGUUAUUCUUAAAAUAACUAGUAGUCAAACGGCAUCUCCCAAUUCUAAUGCUUCGAUGUGUUGUUGGUGAGAGAUUUGCAGGCACAAUUGGCCUCUAUUCCCACUAGCAAUCAAGAAACUGAACUCACCAUUGACGAUGACUUUGAUAUCUCGGGAUUGAAGCCCCUCAAAGUCCCUACCCAGAUCUUCUUCAAACACUCUUCCAUGGAUCCCCACAAAAAGGGUUCUGCAGAAGCUGAGUUUUUCACUGAGUAUGGAGAGGCAAGCUGAUACCAAAUCCACGAAGUCAUCGGGAAAGGAAGUUAUGGCAUCGUGGGCUCUGCCCUUGACACUCAUACUGGGGAAAAAGUUGCAAUAAAAAAAA